AUAGAAGUCAAUCCUUCUAUUAUCACCAUGCCAUCUGGAAGUCCUGGUCUCAACUUGUUUUGGAAGCUAAGCACAGUUAGGUCAGGUUAGUUACUUAGAUGGGAGACCAUCUGUGAACAGCAGAGAUUUCUAGA
rnacentral:rRNA from 1 species